AAGAGGAAGUACCGAGCAGAGAGCAUAGAGGGGAGGGAUGAUGGAGAUGGGUGCAGAUUGUGGCAUCAGUAACAGAAGAAUAAACUCAGAGAGAACAAAACAGAAACAAGCCUGCUCUACCCAGCAGCCGCCUCUACAGAGCCCCUGCUGUCUGCCAGUCUGGCUGGAAUUAGCACACCGAUGUCUGUGCAACUCAGUGUCACCGCCACAGGAGGCUGAUGGGGAUGCAGUUUAGCUCCGGCUGCAGACAGCAGGCUGUUCCUGCCCCCAUCACCUCUCCACCACACCACAGCCUUUCCCUCUGGAUAAUCGGCUCCACCCUCACCUCAUCCAGGAAGCCUCAGAGGAGCUCCACCUUGCUUCGAUCUAUCAAACCCUUCAGUCAGUUCCUGUCUCCCAGCUUUUAUCUUUGCCACCCCUCUUCCUAAAUAUGUGACACUUAAUUAUGACUGUCUCAAACUGUGUGAGUGACUCAUGAAAAUGUUUAUGUAUUUCUAGCUUCUAUGUACUUACUGUAUUUACUUCCCCCGCCCGUAACAUAGUAGAUUCAGCACUGGGCUUGGACUUGAAUGCCCCGGGAAUAAAAAUCGGGAUAAUAAUAAUUAUAUUGCAGGGCUUUUUAAAAAUGAGCUGAUAUGUAAGUGGCACAGAGUGGGAGCUUGGUAAAUAUUAGUUGAAUCUGAAUCCUAGAAUGUAAAUUCUUCAGACAUUCUCUUUCUCCGAUAUAUAUUUUCCCAUUUCUCCCAGCGCCUAGUCCCUUUGAGGAUAGGGACAUUUAAUAAAUGCCAUCUGACACGUCUUGUCUUGAUUUUUAGGAUAUCUUUUGGAUCAGGAAAAUGGGUAAUUUGGGGCAUCCACAAAUUACAAUGACAAUGAGAUAACACCAUUUGACAAUUAAGCACAGGCCUCCUAUUGUCCCCAUAGUUUGGAAGUGGGAGAGUAAACUACUUUCAGCGGCAUAUUCAG